rnacentral:hammerhead_ribozyme from 1 species
AUCCAGCUGACGAGUUCCAAAUAGGACGAAACGCUCGUCCUGGAU